UACAGAGGUCCCAAGCGUUGUUCGGAUUCACUGGGCGUAAAGGGUGCGUAGGUGGUGAGGUAAGUCGGAUGUGAAAUCUCCAAGCUCAACUUGGAAACUGCAUUGGAAACUACCUUGCUAGAGGAUUUGAGGGGGGAUUGGAAUUCCUGGUGUAGCGGUGAAAUGCGCAGAUAUCAGGAGGAACACCGAUGGCGAAGGCAGGUCUCUGGGCAGUAACUGACGCUGAGGAGCGAAAGCAUGGGGAGCGAACAGG
rnacentral:rRNA from 1 species